GAUGAACGCUGGCGGCGUGCUUAACACAUGCAAGUCGAACGGUGAAGGCGGAGCUUGCUCUGCUGGAUCAGUGGCGAACGGGUGAGUAACACAUGAGCAAUCUGCCCCUGACUCUGGGAUAAGCGCUGGAAACGGCGUCUAAUACUGGAUACGAGCUGCGAAGGCAUCUUCAGCAGCUGGAAAGAAUUUCGGUCAGGGAUGAGCUCGCGGCCUAUCAGCUUGUUGGUGAGGUAAUGGCUCACCAAGGCGUCGACGGGUAGCCGGCCUGAGAGGGUGACCGGCCACACUGGGACUGAGACACGGCCCAGACUCCUACGGGAGGCAGCAGUGGGGAAUAUUGCACAAUGGGCGAAAGCCUGAUGCAGCAACGCCGCGUGAGGGACGACGGCCUUCGGGUUGUAAACCUCUUUUAGCAGGGAAGAAGCGAAAGUGACGGUACCUGCAGAAAAAGCGCCGGCUAACUACGUG
rnacentral:rRNA from 1 species